rnacentral:rRNA from 1 species
GAUGAACGCUGGCGGCGUGCCUAAUACAUGCAAGUCGAGCGAACAGACGAGGAGCUUGCUCCUCUGACGUUAGCGGCGGACGGGUGAGUAACACGUGGAUAACCUACCUAUAAGACUGGGAUAACUUCGGGAAACCGGAGCUAAUACCGGAUAAUAUAUUGAACCGCAUGGUUCAAUAGUGAAAGACGGUUUUGCUGUCACUUAUAGAUGGAUCCGCGCCGCAUUAGCUAGUUGGUAAGGUAACGGCUUACCAAGGCAACGAUGCGUAGCCGACCUGAGAGGGUGAUCGGCCACACGGGAACUGAGACACGGUCCAGACUCCUACGGGAGGCAGCAGUAGGGAAUCUUCCGCAGUGGGCGGAAGCCUGACGGAGCGACGCCGCGUGAGUGAUGAAGGUCUUCGGAUCGUAAAACUCUGUUAUUAGGGAAGAACAAAUGUGUAAGUAACUAUGCACGUCUUGACGGUACCGAAUAAGAAAGCCACGGCUAACUACGUG